rnacentral:lncRNA from 1 species
UUUUUACUGUGAAAGUUUACAAUGUCGACAUCGAAAUUUGCUAUAUUUUGUAUUGUUCUCAUUUGUCUUGCUAGUCUUCAUGAAUGUAUGUCAUAUAUAGCAUAUGUUCCAUCCAAUCCUCUAGCAUCAUUACCAUUAAAUUAAUAUUAAUAUACUCCAUCAUCUUUUAAUUUUGUUUUAUUCUUUAAACUUUCUGCAGGUGCCAACCCGGAAAAAAAGCCCAAAGGAACAUGCUCUAAAACACCAAAGAAUGUUUGGUGUUGCAGUUCCACUACACACUGCCGAAGCACCAAAGCGGAUUGUGAGAAGAUGUGUAUCUGGUAGUAUCUGGGGCCGUUGAAUUUUACCAAAAAGAAUUUCAAUAAUUAUAUAUUCCAAUUAUUUUCAUAAAUCUAUCAUUCAAAAUUUAAAGAAUAAAUAGAAAUUCCUAUUCCACAGGAGCAGCUAGUAUUAUGUACUAAAUGUUUUGGAAUUUCUUUGAAAGAUCAAUAUAUAUAGUUGUAACUUUCUUCAAUUUUAUUUAAGAAGUUUACAAAUUUUAUAGAAAAUGAGAAUAAAACCACUGUACCUGUUUAACUGAAAUUUAAAUGUUGUAAGUACUUUGUAACUUAAAUAAAAUAAAAAUACAUAACUUCAAAAUAUAUUAUAAAUUAUAUAAAUUUAUUAAUUACCACAAAAAUUAACAAUUUUCACCAUUCUCGGACUUGACCGAUUCAAAAUAUAACACAAUUGUUUAAGAUAAUAAGAUAAUGUACUGUAAUCCAUAAGGGUGUGGGUCUUCUCAAACACUAAAAUUUUAUAAUAAAAAUUAAUAUAUAAUUUUUUUUAUAAAUAUAACCAAAACAUUGUUUUGUUUCCACCAUGAACUUAAUCUCUAAUUAUUCUUAACCAUUCACAACAUUUUGAUAUGGUUUUAUCACUUUACUUGUAAAACACAUUUGCAUUAUAUAAUCCAUAUCUUAUAUACAUCAAAUUAUUUAACAAGAAAAAGUUGAAAGCCAAAGUUAAGAUUAAUUAAUAUAUAAGCCAAGAAAAAAUGAUUUUUUAUUUGACAUAAAUAAUUUAUUUAAUAUAUGAAUGACAAAACUGAUUUUUUUCUAAACAAAUAAUAUAUCAUAUUUACACCAUUACUAAUUACAUAAUUUUUAUUUUACAAUAACUGAAAACACAUAACUUGGUGUUUAUGCAUCUUACAUGAAACAAUAUAUUAUUGUUAUGAACAAGGUUAUUAAUGAGAAAGGUUUUUCAUUGAAUUUAACCAUGAGGCGUCAAUAAUGCUUACGAUAUUAAUGACAUUGUGAUUAUGUUUUAUCUUGGAAAAUGGUGGUUUAUAGCACUAUUAUUAUUAUUAAAUUAUUCUCACGUAAAAUAUGUCAUUUUGAAAACAAUAAAUAAUAUAAUGGCUACCUAGGCGUUAGUUCAUAUCAGAUACAUAAUUUUUAUUAUUCUGUUUUUCUCUUAUGAUAGUCCUUACAAUAUUUUUAUUAUCAUAUUUAUUUCUUACGUAUAUCUAUGUUUGGAAAAUAAUAAUAAAAAUAUUUUUCUUUAUUUAUUUCACCAUAAAAAUACUUUUUGGUAAAUUAGAAAUGUUAAGUAAAUUAGUACCUACAAUAACAUUUCACUUCAAUCAUUAUAUGUCCGACUUUCAUAAUAUAUAUAGAUGAAUCCAUUAAGAAUCGAAGACUCUAUUUUUCCAUCUAAAAUAAAUUAGUAAAAAUAAUAUAGUAGCUACUCUUUGCUAAUUUAAUUUGGCCGCAUCUUUAAGCUUUUAAAGUUACCCAUAUAUAUAUACAUAUGGCUGUACUUUUAGGUGGUGAUAUAUCCUAUCAAAAAAUAAAAUGAAAAUUUUGAAACUUUUUAACAUAAAUAUAUUAAAAUAUAAGGAGAAUAAAAGUAACCAAUAAUUAUAUUUUCAGAUUCUUCGGAUUAUCAUGCGAAACAUUUUCAGGAACAUAUAUACAUGUUCACAUAUAAGGAUAUCGAUAAGAAAUUAGUAAAUGCUAAAAUUGGUAGCUAAUCUAUCGCUAGUUUAUUUUAUCCACAUAUUUAAUCGUUCAACGUUACAUAUAUAUAUAUAUAUAUAUAUAUAUGGUUGUCGUUAAUAGGUAUUUUUAGGUGCUGACUUAUUGUAUCAAAAAAAAUGAAUAUUUUAAAUAAAAUUUAACAUAAAUAUUUUAGCAUAUAAAGAAAAUAAAACUAACCAAUCAAAUUGAAAACAGUUUUUCUGGAUAAUUCUAAAAAUAGUCUUCAAAGACCCAUAUAUAUGUAUAUGUUCAUACGUAAGGUUUCCUUAAAUACACACACAAAGCAUUUUUUUACUGUGAAAGUUUACAAUGUCGACAUCGAAAUUUGCUAUAUUUUGUAUUGUUCUCAUUUGUCUUGCUAGUCUUCAUGAAUGUAUGUCAUAUAUAGCAUAUGUUCCAUCCAAUCCUCUAGCAUCAUUACCAUUAAAUUAAUAUUAAUAUACUCCAUCAUCUUUUAAUUUUGUUUUAUUCUUUAAACUUUCUGCAGGUGCCAACCCCGAAAAAAAGCCCAAAGGAACAUGCUCUAAAACACCAAAGAAUGUUUGGUGUUGCAGUUCCACUACACACUGCCGAAGCACCAAAGCGGAUUGUGAGAAGAUGUGUAUCUGGUAGUAUCUGGGGCCGUUGAAUUUUACCAAAGAGAAUUUCAAUAAUUAUAUAUUCCCAUUAUUUUCAUAAUUCUAUUAUUCAAAAUUUAAAGAAUAAAUAGAAAUUCCUAUUCCACAGGAGCAGCUAGUAUUAUGUACUAAAUGUUUUGGAAUUUCUUUGUAAGAUCAAUAUAUAUAGUUGUAACUUUCUUCAAUUUUAUUUAAGAAGUUUAUAAAUUUUAUAGAAAAUGAGAAUAAAACCACUGUACCUGUUUAACUGAAAUUUAAAUGUUGUAAGUACUUUGUAAAUUAAAUAAAAUAAAAAUACAUCACUUCAAAAUAUAUUAUAAAUUAUAUAAAUUAAUUAAUUAACACAAAAAUUAACAAUUUUCACCAUUCUCGGACUUGGCCGAUUCAAAAUAUAACACAAUUGUUUAAGAUAAUAAGAUAAUGUACUGUAAUCCAUAAGGGUGUAGGUCUUCUCAAACACUAAAAUUUUAUAAUAAAAAUUAAUAUAUAAUUUUUUUAUAAAUAUAACCAAAACAUUGUUUUGUUUCCACCAUGAACUUAAUCGCUAAUUAUGCUUAACCAUUCACAACAUUUUGAUAUGGUUUUAUCACUUUACUUGUAAAACACAUUUGCAUUAUAUAAUCCAUAUCUUAUAUACAUCAAAUUAUUUAACAAGAAAAAGUUGAAAGCCAAAGGUAAGAUUAAUUAAUAUAUAAGCCAAGAAAAAAUGAUUUUUUAUUUGACAUAAAUAAUUUAUUUAAUAUAUGAAAGACAAAACUGAUUUUUAUUCUAAACAAAUAAUAUAUCAUAUUUACACCAUUACUAAUAACAUAAUUUUCAGUUAUUUAUACAAUAACUGAAAACACAUAAUUUUUAGUUCAUGUAAUAUGCAUCUUACAUGAAACAAUAUAUUGUUGUUAUGAACAAGGUUAUUAAUGAGAAAGGUUUUUCAUUGAAUUUAACCAUGAGGCUUCAAUAAUGCUUACGAUAUUACUGACAUUGUGAUCAUGUUUUAUCUUGGAAAAUGGUGGUUUAUAGCACUAUUAUUAUUAUUAAAUUAUUCUCACGUAAAAUAUGUCAUUUUGAAAACUAAUAAAUAAUAUAAUGGCUACAUAGGCGUUAGUUCAUAUUAGAAACAUAACUUUAAUUAUUAUUUUUUUCUCUUAUGAUAGUCCUUACAAUAUUUUAAUUAUCAUAUAUAAUUCUUACGUAUAUCUAUGUUUGGAAAAUAAUAAUAAAAAUAUUUUUCUUUAUUUAUUUCACCAUAAAAAUACUUUUUGGUAAAUUAGAACUUUUAAGUAAAUUAGUACCUACAAUAACUUUUAACUUCAAUCAGUAUAUGCCCGACUUUCAUAAUAUAUAUAGAUAAAUCCAUUAAGAAUCGAAGACUCUAUUUUUCCAUCUAAAAUAAAUUAGUAAAAAAAAAAUAUAGUAGCUACUCUUUGCUAAUUUAAUUUGGCCGCAUCUUUAAGCUUUUAAAGUUACCCAUAUAUAUUUACAUAUGGCUGUACUUUUAGGUGGUGAUAUAUCCUAUCAAAAAAAUAAAAUGAAAAUUUUGGAACUUUUUAACAUAAAUAUAUUAAAAUAUAAGGAGAAUAAAAGUAACCAAUAAUUAUAUUUUCAGAUUCUUCGGAUUAUCAUACGAAACAUUUUCAGGGACAUAUAUACAUCUUCACAUAUAAGGAUAUCGAUAAGAAAUUAGUAAAUGCUAAAAUUGGUAGCUAAUCUAUCGCUAGUUUAUUUUAUCCACAUAUUUAAUCGUUCAACGUUACAUAUAUAUAUAUAUGGUUGUCGUUAAUAGGUAUUUUUAAGUGCUGACUUAUUGUAUCAAAAACGAAAAUGAAUAUUUUAAAUAAAAUUUAACAAAAAUAUUUUAGGAUAUAAAGAAAAUAAAACUAACCAAUCAAUUGAAAACAGUUUUUCUGGAUAAUUCUAAAAAUAGUCCUCAAAGACCUAUAUAUAUGUAUAUGUUCAUACGUAAGGUUUCCUAAAAUACACACAAAAAGCAAUUUUUUACUGUGAAAGUUUACAAUGUCGGCAUCGAAAUUUGCUAUAUUUUGUAUUGUUCUCAUUUGUCUUGCUAGUCUUCAUGAAUGUAUGUCAUAUAUAGCAUAUGUUCCAUCCAAUCCUCUAGCAUCAUUACCAUUAAAUUAAUAUUAAUAUACUCCAUCAUCUUUUAAUUUUGUUUUAUUCUUUAAACUUUCUGCAGGUGUCAACCCGGAAAGAAAGCCCAAAGGAACAUGCUCUAAAACACCAAAUAAUGUUUGGUGUUGCAGUUCCACUACACACUGCCGAAGCACCAAAGCAGAUUGUGAGAAGAUGUGUAUCUGGUAGUAUAUGGGGCCGUUGAGUUUUACCAAAGAGAAUUUCAAUAAUUAUAUAUUUCAAUUAUUUUCAUAAUUCUAUUAUUCAAAAUUUAAAGAAUAAAUAGAAAUUCCUAUUCCACAGGAGCAGCUAGUAUUAUGUACUAAAUGUUUUGGAAUUUCUUUGAAAGAUCAAUAUAUAUAGUUGUAACUUUCUUCAAUUUUAUUUAAGAAGUUUAUAAAUUUUAUAGAAAAUGAGAAUAAAACCACUGUACCUGUUUAACUGAAAUUUAAAUGUUGUAAGUACUUUGUAAAUUAAAUUAAAUAAAAAUACAUCACUUCAAAAUAUAUUAUAAAUUAUAUAAAUUAAUUAAUUAACACAUAAAUUAACAAUUUUCACCAUUCUCGGAUUUGACCGAUUCAAAAUAUAACACAAUUGUUUAAGAUAAUAAGAUAACGUUCUGUAAUCCAUAAGGGUGUGGGUCUUCUCAAACACUAAAAUUUUAUAAUAAAAGUUAAUAUAUAAAUUUUUUAUAAAUAUAACCAAAACAUUGUUUUGUUUCCACCAUGAACUUAAUCGCUAAUUAUUCUUAACCAUUCACAACAUUUUGAUAUGGUUUUAUCACUUUACUUGUAAAACACAUAUGCACUAUAUAAUCCAUAACUUAUAUACAUCAAAUUAUUUAACAAAAAAAAGUUGAAACCCAAAGUUAAGAUUAAUUAAUACAUAAGCCAAGAAAAAUUAUUUUUUAUUUGACAUAAAUAAUUUAUUUAAUAUUUGAAUGACAAAACUGAUUUUUUUCUAAACAAAUAAUAUAUCAUAUUUACACCAUUACUAAUUACAUAAUUUUUUAUUUUACAAUAACUGAAAACACAUAACUUGGUGUUUAUGUAUCUUAGAUGAAACAAUAUAUUAUUGUUAUGAACAAAGUUAUUAAUGAGAAAGGUUUUUCAUUGAAUUUAACCAUGAGGCUUCAAUAAUGCUUACGAUAUUACUGACAUUGCGAUCAUGUUUUAUCUUGGAAAACGGUGGUUUAUAGCACUAUUAUUAUUAUUAAAUUAUUCUCACGUAAAAUAUGUCAUUUUGAAAACAAUAAAUAAUAUAAUGGCUACCUAGGCGUUAGUUCAUAUUAGAUACAUAAUUUUUUUUUCUCUUAUGAUAGUCCUUACAAUAUUUUGAUUAUCAUAUAUAUUUCCUACGUAUAUCUAUGUUUGGAAAAUAAUAAUAAAAAUAUUUUUCUUUAUUUAUUUCACCAUAAAAAUACUUUUUGGUAAAUUAGAACUGUUAAGUAAAUUAGUACCUACAAUAACAUUUCACUUCAAUCAUUAUAUGUCCGACUUUCAUAAUAUAUAUAGAUGAAUCCAUUAAGAAUCGAAGACUCUAUUUUUCCAUCUAAAAUAAAUUAGAAAAAAAAAAUAUAGUAGCUACUCUUUGCUAAUUUAAUUUGGCUGCAUCUUUAGCUUUUAAAGUUACCCAUAUAUAUAUACAUAUGGCUGUACUUUUAGGUGGUGAUAUAUCCUAUCAAAAAAUAAAAUGAAAAUUUUGGAACUUUUUAACAUAAAUUUAUUAAAGUAAAAGGAUAAUAAAAGUAACCAAUAACUAUAUUUUCAGAUUCUUCGGAUUAUCAUGCGAAACAUUUUCAGGUACAUAUAUACAUGUUCACAUAUAAGGAUAUCGAUAAGAAAUUAGUAAAUGCUAAAAUUGGUAGCUAAUCUAUUGGUAGUUUAUUUUAUCCACAUAUUUAAUCGUUCAACGUUACAUAUAUAUAUAUGGUUGUCGUUAAUAGGUAUUUUUAGGUGCUGACUUAUUGUAUCAAAAACGAAAAUGAAUAUUUUAAAUAAAAUUUAACAAAAAUAUUUUAGGAUAUAAAGAAAAUAAAACUAACCAAUCAAUUGAAAACAGUUUUUCUGGAUAAUUCUAAAAAUAGUCAUCAAAGACCUAUAUAUAUGUAUAUGUUCAUACGUAAGGUUUCCUAAAAUACACACACAAAGCAUUUUUUUACUGUGAAAGUUUACAAUGUCGGCAUCGAAAUUUGCUAUAUUUUGUAUUGUUCUCAUUUGUCUUGCUAGUCUUCAUGAAUGUAUGUCUAUAUAGCAUAUGUUCCAUCCAAUCCUCUAGCAUCAUUACCAUUAAAUUAAUAUUAAUAUACUCCAUCAUCUUUUAAUUUUGUUUUAUUCUUUAAACUUUCUGCAGGUGCCAACCCGGAAAAAAAGCCCAAAGGAACAUGCUCUAAAACACCAAAGAAUGUUUGGUGUUGCAGUUCCACUACACACUGCCGAAGCACCAAGGCAGAUUGUGAGAAGAUAUGUAUCUGGUAGUAUCUGGGGCCGUUGAAUUUUAUCAAAGAGAAUUUCAAUAAUUAUAUAUUCCACUUAUUUUCAUAAUUCUAUUAUUCAAAAUUUAAAUAAUAAAUAGAAAUUCCUAUUCCACAGGAGCAGCUAGUAUUAUGUACUAAAUGUUUUGGAAUUUCUUUGAAAGAUCAAUAUAUAUAUAUAGUUGUCUUUCUAACUUUCUUCAAUUGUAUUUGAGAAGUUUAUAAAUUUUAUAGAAAAUGAGAAUAAAACCAUUGUACCUGUUUAACUGAAAUUUAAAUGUUGUAUGUACUUUGUAAAUUAAAUAAAAU